AGCUCCUUAAUUUUAAUCAAAUCGGUUCCUCCUCCUUACACCAACACAUGACCACCCUUGUUUUCCUUCUUUCUUUUCUUACGGCCAAAGAGAAUUCUAAGUGUUUUAAGAUAUCAAGUCGGUUCUCACUUGGUUGAGAGCAUCAAGCAGCUGAAUUGUUUAGGAGAGAAGGAGAUAUCAAGCAGCUCAAUUUCUACUUCUCAACUGUGCCACCAAGGUGAACUCAAGCAGCUCAAUUCUUUCCUUCCAAACCGUAACAACCAAGGGAGUUAAGAGGAGCUUGUUGCCGUACAUUGAUUUGAACCUCG